UACGUAGGGGGCAAGCGUUGUCCGGAAUCAUUGGGCGUAAAGCGCGCGUAGGCGGCCCGGUAAGUCCGUUGUAAAAGUCGAAGGCUCGACCUUCGAAAGCCGAUGGAUACUGCCGGGCUAGAGUCCGGAAGAGGCGAGUGGAAUUCCUGGUGUAGCGGUGGAAUGCGCAGAUAUCAGGAGGAACACCCAUAGCGAAGGCAGCUCGCUGGGACGGUACUGACGCUGAGGCGCGAAAGCGUGGGGAGCGAACAGG
rnacentral:rRNA from 1 species